rnacentral:tRNA from 1 species
GCCAACAUAGCUCAGUUGGUAGAGCACGUCCUUGGUAAGGACGAGGUCACCGGUUCGAUCCCGGUUGUUGGCU